rnacentral:rRNA from 1 species
AUGGGACACUCUGGCAUGAAGAAGACGGAGGAUAUACUUGCUACACAUUUCUUUUGGCCAAAGAUGAGACGGGAUGUUGAGCGUUUUGUUGCUCGUUACACUACAUGUCAAAAAGGUAAGUCACGACUCAAUCCUCAUGGUUUAUAUAUGCCUUUGCCUGUACCUAGUGUUUCUUGGGAGGAUAUAUCUAUGGACUUUGUUUUAGGUUUACCUCGAACAAAGAAGGGGAGGGAUAGCGUAUUUGUUGUCGUGGAUAGGUUCUCAAAAAUGGCACACUUUAUACCUUGUCAUAAAAGCGAUGAUGCUGUUAAUGUUGCUGAUUUGUUCUUUCGUGAAAUUAUUCGCUUGCAUGGUGUGCCAAAUACUAUUGUUUCAGAUCAUGAUACUAAAUUUCUUAGACACUUUUGGAGAUGUUUAUGCGCUAAGUUGGGGACUAAACUGCUUUUUAGUACUACAUGUCACCCCCAAACUGAUGGA